rnacentral:rRNA from 1 species
AGUGAACGCUGGCGGUAGGCCUAACACAUGCAAGUCGAACGGCAGCACAGUAAGAGCUUGCUCUUACGGGUGGCGAGUGGCGGACGGGUGAGGAAUACAUCGGAAUCUACUUUUUCGUGGGGGAUAACGUAGGGAAACUUACGCUAAUACCGCAUACGACCUACGGGUGAAAGCAGGGGAUCUUCGGACCUUGCGCGAUUGAAUGAGCCGAUGUCAGAUUAGCUAGUUGGCGGGGUAAAGGCCCACCAAGGCGACGAUCCGUAGCUGGUCUGAGAGGAUGAUCAGCCACACUGGAACUGAGACACGGUCCAGACUCCUACGGGAGGCAGCAGUGGGGAAUAUUGGACAAUGGGCGCAAGCCUGAUCCAGCCAUACCGCGUGGUGAAGAAGGCCUUCGGGUUGUAAAGCCCUUUUGUUGGGAAAGAAAAGCAGCAGGUUAAUACCCCGCUGUUCUGACGGUACCCAAAGAAUAAGCACCGGCUAACUUCGU